AAACUCAAAGGAAUUGACGGGGGCCCGCACAAGCGGUGGAGCAUGUGGUUUAAUUCGAAGCAACGCGAAGAACCUUACCAGGUCUUGACAUCCCGGUGCCCGUCCUAGAGAUAGGAUUUUGCUUCGGCACACCGGUGACAGGUGGUGCAUGGUUGUCGUCAGCUCGUGUCGUGAGAUGUUGGGUUAAGUCCCGCAACGAGCGCAACCCUUAUUGUUAGUUGCCAUCAUUCAGUUGGGCACUCUAGCGAGACUGCCGGUAAUAAACCGGAGGAAGGUGGGGAUGACGUCAAAUCAUCAUGCCCCUUAUGACCUGGGCUACACACGUGCUACAAUGGCUGGUACAACGAGUCGCAAGUCGGUGACGGCAAGCUAAUCUCUUAAAGCCAGUCUCAGUUCGGAUUGUAGGCUGCAACUCGCCUACAUGAAGUCGGAAUCGCUAGUAAUCGCGGAUCAGCACGCCGCGGUGAAUACGUUCCCGGGCCUUGUACACACCGCCCGUC
rnacentral:rRNA from 1 species